AAUCAACGCUGGCGGCGCGCCUAACACAUGCAAGUCGAGCGAGAAAGUGGAGCAAUCCAUGAGUAAAGCGGCGUACGGGUGAGUAACACGUGGAUUAUCUACCUCUUUGUGGGGGAUAACCCUGGGAAACCGGGGCUAAUACCGCAUAAGUUCGAGAGAAGAAAGCAGCAAUGCGCAGAGAGAGGAGUCCGCGGCCGAUUAGUUAGUUGGCAGGGUAAAAGCCUACCAAGACAAAGAUCGGUAGCCGGCCUGAGAGGGCACACGGCCACACUGGCACUGAAACACGGGCCAGACUCCUACGGGAGGCAGCAGUGGGGAUAUUGGACAAUGGCGCAAGCCUGAUCCAGCCAUGCCGCGUGAGUGAUGAAGGCCUUAGGGUUGUAAAG
rnacentral:rRNA from 1 species